GCUGGGCAUGGUAGCGCAUGCCUGCAGUCCCAGCUACUUGGGAGGCUGAAACAGGAGGAUCCCUUGAGCCCAGGAGGUCGAGGCUGCAGUGAGCUAUGAUCACGCCAUUGCACUCUAGCCUGGGUGACACAAUAAGACCCUGUAUCUU
ensembl:misc_RNA Metazoa_SRP Metazoan signal recognition particle RNA